CUCGGCUACGAACCGAGCGGUCGGAGGUUCGAAUCCUCCCGGAUGCA
rnacentral:tRNA from 1 species